rnacentral:lncRNA from 1 species
UGGGUGCAGCAAACCACCAUGGCACAUGUAUACCUAUGUAACAAACCUGCACAUUUUGCACACGUAUCCCACAACUUAAAAAAAUAUAUAUAUGUAUAUAUAUACACCAAAAAUACAGUGAAAUAAAUAUCAGUUUUUUAGCACAUUGACCAAAAUAAUGCUUGCUCAAGGAUCUGUAGUUUUAUGCAAACCCAGUAUUAGGCCUAAUAGAAAGUAAAUACUGAAUCUAGGUAAAAUUACUCUGCAAGGCAUA